UAUUGAUGGUGUGGGCAGUCCCUAAGAAAAGCCUUGAACCACUCCCAAUCAUGAUAGAGAUUCUCGUCUGACUUCUGUUUGAAGCAUACUAUCUCACUGUGAAGUU
rfam:Capsicum annuum cultivar Zunla-1 chromosome 12, whole genome shotgun sequence